GAAUUGACUUAUCCUGACAGGCUCAACUGGAAUAUUUUCCACGACAAUGUUUAGCCUGCAAGGAUUGCAAAACAGUACCAUUAAUGCUCCAGGUUGACUGCAGAAGUGACUUUGAAAUGACAGCAUGCAAUGAAUGAGUUAAUGAGGCAGUCCCAUGUUUCAUCAGUCAGGGAAACUGUAAUCAGCAGGAUUUCUUCAUCGUGAUGACAGCAAACACCAAAGCCAAGUGAUAAGGAGAGCAAUUGUCUGGAUCUGCAUUUACACACCACUGGCUACAGGGCUAAAGCAAAUGCUGAAGAUAGUAGCCUAGACAUUAAAAGACCCAUCUUUCAGUCUUCCUUCACCUUCAGAUGCUGACAGCACUCCAUCACUUUGUCCCCACGACUCCACCAGUGUGAAUGAUGGAUGUCUCUGCUGCUGCCCUUCUAUUUGUGAUACAAUGAACAAUGCUGCCUCCAAUCACACUCCUAGGGGUUGAAAUUGCUGAUAGUGGUCAGCCCUUGUUGUCGUCCUAUAUUGGACAUUUGUGAUACAGAUAAUUAACAUUACAUGAGAAAUUUGCAACCAGUUAUGAAACUACAAAUCAUAUGGAGGAAACAGUCAAGAUAGAAAUUAAAAACUUGUCCAAGUUGGCAGUGGGAGUAAGAUUCCUGAGCCAGAGCGCAUCUGCUCCCUCGACUUCUUUUUCUCCCUUUUUCAUGCUUUUUCUUCCUACUUUCUUCUUGCCUCCCAUCAUCGGGUGGCAUUGACAAGGAUUGUGAUGAAGCCAGCGUGCACUUCUGGUCUCAAGGUGAAGCCAGAGCUCACUCAAAGCCUUGAAAUGAAGAUCAUUGCAGACGCCCAUUUUGAAGUGAAGCCCAGCAUAGACUCUCGGCCUCGCAUUGAAGGCAGUGCAGACUCCCAGCCUCAAGAGCCUCAAGGUAAAGCUCAGCGCAGAUAGGAGGCAAGACUGGAGGUGAGGCCUGGCACAGUCUGGAGGUGAGGUCCAGUGCAGUUCAGAGGCCAGUGCGGACUUGUCUGCUCCAUCUUCUCUGCUUGGAAGGACUGUAAUUCUGAAAAUAUUGUUUCUUUAUUCUCCUAAUUAAUUCCUAAGAUUUGGUACCUAGAUACCUUAUGUACUUAA